GUGGAUGCAAAUUAUGUGUUGGAAAAUAGGCUCUGGUUCAUUCAUAAUCAACAUCUCUCAAUUCAAGAGUGGCCCCCUGAUGUGUCCUUUGAAGAGCUUUCCUUUGAUUGUUCUCCCUUUUGGAUUUAGGUUUAUGGACUCCCUCCUAAACAAGUUAAUCAGCAAAAUGCAGAAAUUAUUGGGAAUAGUAUGGGACAGUUUAUGGAGG
rnacentral:misc_RNA from 1 species